GUAGGGAAUAUUGCGCAAUGGGGGAAACCCUGACGCAGCGACGCCGCGUGAGUGAUGAAGGCCUUCGGGUCAUAAAGCUCUGUUGCAGGGGAAUAAAAAAAAGAAGGUACCCUGUGAGGAAGGAUCGGCUAACUUCGUGCUAGCAGCCGCGGUAAGAAGAGGGAACCUAGCGUUGCUCGGAAUCAUUGGGCGUAAAGAGGGAGAAGGUGGCUUGUUAAGUCAGGUGUGAAAGGCCAGGGCUCAACCCUGGAAGUGCAUUUGAUACUGCUGAGCUUGAGUGUCGGAGAGGUUACCGGAAUACCUUGUGUAGUGGUGAAAUACUUAGAUAUCAGGUGGAACACCGGAGGCGAAGGCGGGUAACUGGACGAACACUGACACUGAGGCCCGAAAGCGUGGGGAUCAAACAGGAUUAGAAACCCUAGUAGUCC
rnacentral:rRNA from 1 species